GAUUUGGUUGAAAGCUGCAAAGAUAAAAGUUAUCUUUAUAUGCUUGCUAUGGGAUGGAGUGUCGUUUAUCAGUUCAGGCAAGUUCAGGCUGAGAUCGAUCGUUAUCUCAAGAUUGUUCCUUUGAUUUCUCUUGUUCAUGAAUUUAGGAUGCAGGUAUUUCUUUUAAUUUUCUUUUUUUAAAAAAAAAAAAAUCUGUGGGCACUAGACACUAGGAGACUGCUGAUUGCACCGGAUAUCGAGUUUUUUGCCAUUUUCUGGGAAAACGGGCAAGAAUAAUUUUGUCUUUUGUAAUUUUUUUAUAGAAUAAUUAAAAUGUAUUUAUAGAAUAAUUUUACCUUUUAAAAAAAUUUUCAAAAAUUUUUAAUCAGAGAGGUUAUAUAAUAAUCUCAAUACAUACGGGUUUUAAAAAGGUUUUUAUAUAGUUGAUACAAGUUUUAAAGAGGUCUUUAUAUAGUUGAUAGUUGGGAGAAAAUUUAUUAGUUAAUUUAUAAAAUAUUUUUAAUAUUUUAAAAAAAAAAUAUUAAUUAAUUUUUUUAUUAAUUUUAAUUAUUAAAUAUUAUAAAAAUUUUAAAAUAUUAGUAAUAUAAAAAUAUUAAUUAGUAUAUUUUUUAAAAGUUUAAGAAAUUAAUUAAUAAAAUUUUUAAAAUUAUAAAAAUUAAAUAAUAAAAUAAUUAACCAUUAAAAUUAAUAAAAUAAUUAGCUAAUAAAUUUUUUAAAAUAUUAAAAUUAUUUUAAUAUAUUUUUUAAAAUUACAGUAUUAAUUAAUGAAUUUUUUCUAUCAAGUGAUUUUUUUUACCCUAUCUGGACAGAGGACUAUGAUAGAUGAAUAUUCUAAUCUCUAAAUUUUAUUGAAUUAUUAUUGUCGGUGUGAUUUGACAGAAAAAUAGUGCAGUCUGCUUUACGCUUGAGCUAUUUUUCUUUGUCAAAGGCCAAGAAAAUCUAUAUAGACCAAACUUGUAUUUUUGCAAUUUAUCUAUUUUUACAUCAGAAACUUUUCUUUUGAAAAUGGGUUCCAUAAUUAAUUGCUUAAUUAAUUAAUUAAUCAGAAUAUAAAGGAAGGCCUGGAGGCCAUUGAAGAGGAUCACAGAGAAUACACUCUGGAAGAAGAGGAUUUAGAGGCACAGAAUGUGAUUCUGAAACCUGACAGGACAAACAAAGACGCCAACAUCUUGGAGAAGUCACUGUCUCGGCGAUAUCCUAAUCUGGAAUUUCAUGAGGCUCUGCAAGAAGAGAAAGAGAAGCUGCAUAUUGAGCUGCAGAGAUCAAGAACAAUCAAUGAUCCGAAUCAAUGUCGUGUAAUAGAACAUCUCAUUGAUGUCACAGAAAAUGUUGUCAAUGCAAUUCCUGAGAAGAAAUUAACUAAACUUCUUGUGAAUGAACCAACUUACAUGGUAUCAGGGUAAGUUCUUCCGAGACAUUAUAGUAAAGCUUCUUCAGUAGUGCGUGCUUCUUUGAAAAAUUACACAGGGAAAUUCUACAACUUCAGG
rnacentral:lncRNA from 1 species